rnacentral:rRNA from 1 species
GCCCGGAGAUAGCUGGUUCUCCCCGAAAUAGCUUUAGGGCUAGCCUCAAGGUGAGAGAUACGGAGGUAGAGCACUGAAUGUCCUAGGGGGUAUUGCACCUACCGAAGACUAUCAAACUCCGAAUGCCGUCAUCUUAUACUUGGGAGUCAGACUGUGGGUGAUAAGAUUCAUAGUCGAAAGGGCAACAGCCCAGAUCGUCAGCUAAGGUCCCUAAAUGUAAGUUAAGUGGUAAAGGAUGUGGGAUUGCACAGACAACCAGGAUGUUGGCUUAGAAGCAGCCACUCAUUCAAAGAGUGCGUAAUAGCUCACUGGUCGAGUGAUCCUGCGCCGAAGAUUUCCGGGGCUAAAACUUACUACCGAAGCUACGGCAUCAGUAAUGAUGGGUAGGGGAGCUUCCCAUACAGGUUGAAGCAUGACCGUAAGGACAUGUGGACAGUAUGGGAGUGAGAAUGUUGGCAUGAGUAGCGAGAUGUGGGUGAGAAUCCCACAGGCCGUAAACCCAAGGUUUCCAGGGGAAGGUUCGUCCGCCCUGGGUU